AUCUAGAUGACGAGUCCCAAAUAGGACGAAACGUCCGUCCUCGAU
rnacentral:hammerhead_ribozyme from 1 species